AUAUCAGUGGUUCUUUGGACUGGAUUUCAAAUCAGUGGACGAUAUAUUUGUGUUCAGGAUCUCUAUAAGAAUAUGGCAAUUGAUGCCUGUGAUCUGCCAACGCUGACAUAGUUGCCAGCUCAUUGCCACACAGUGAGUACAGAGUUCAGAAACAACUAGCGUGUGCGCAAAUAAAAUCAACUGUCAACUCACACCCCAGUAGCCUGUUCUGUGUUUACUGCACUAACCGGAGCCUUGCCCGCUACUACAUGAGGG
rnacentral:lncRNA from 1 species